UACGUAGGGUGCGGGCGUUGUCCGGAAUUAUUGGGCGUAAAGAGCUCGUAGGCGGUUUGUCACGUCUGCUGUGAAAUCCCGAGGCUCAACCUCGGGCCUGCAGUGGGUACGGGCAGACUGGAGUGCGGUAGGGGAGAAUGGAAUUCCUGGUGUAGCGGUGGAAUGCGUAGAGAUCCGGAGGAAUACCAGAGGCGAAGGCGGCCAACUGGGCUUGUUCUGACGCUGAGGUGCGAAAGCGUGGGGAGCGAACAGG
rnacentral:rRNA from 1 species